GACGAACCGUGCAAACGUUAUUCGGAAUCACUGGGCAUAAAGGGCGCGUAGGCGGCUUUCUAAGUCAGGGGUGAAAUCCGGCAGCUCAACUGUCGCAGUGCCUUUGAUACUGGAGAGCUCGAGGGAGGUAGGGGUCUGUGGAACUUCCGGUGGAGCGGUGAAAUGCGUUGAUAUCGGAAGGAACGCCGGUGGCGAAAGCGACGGACUGGAUCUCUUCUGCCGCUGAGGCGCGAAAGCCAGGGGAGCAAACGGG
rnacentral:rRNA from 1 species